CGCGAUUGAACCGAUCCCCUGUGGUUGGACACAGCUGAUCCCUGGUUUCUUCCCCAUGAUUACUGAGUCGCUUUUAAGAUGGUUGUGCGACUGUAGAGCCAGAGUGAGCGUCCUAGGAUUGGAGGGGGCUCCCCGGGCAGUGCAGUCCCGAUCCUGCUCCUGCCUCUGUCUCUGUCCCUCAGGAGAUACUUUAAGCGGGUGGUGCUGGCAGCCCGGACCAAACGGGGACACCUGGUACUGAAGAGUUUCAAGGACACGCCGCUGGAAGGCCUGGAGCAGCUGCUGCCGGAGCUGAAGGUGCGCACGCCCACCCUGCAGCGCGCCCUGCUCAACCUCAUGCUGGUAGUCUCCGGCGUGGCGAUCUUCGUCAACGUGGGCAUGGUGGUGCUAACCGACCUCAAGGUGGCCACCUCCCUGCUGCUGCUGCUCUUCGCCAUCUUCAUGGGCCUGCGGGCCUCCAAGAUGUUCGGGCAGCGGCGCAGCGCGCAGGCGCUGGAGCUGGCGCACAUGCUGUACUAUCGCAGUACGUCCAACAACUCGGAGCUGCUCAGCGCCCUGGCCCUGCGCGCGCAGGACGAGCACACCAAGGAGGCGCUGCUGGCUCACAGCUUCCUGGCCCGGCGGCCAGGGGGCACUCAAGGCUCGCCCGAAGAGACCUCCAGGUGGCUCCGGUCGGAGGUGGAGAACUGGCUCCUAGCCAAGUCAGGCUGUGAGGUGACCUUCAACGGAACUCGGGCCCUGGCGCAUCUGCAGGCCCUGACCCCCAGCAUGGGAUUGUACCCACCCCCGGGUUUCCCCAAACUAGACCCA
rnacentral:sRNA from 1 species